rnacentral:rRNA from 1 species
CCUACGGGAGGCAGCAGUGGGGAAUAUUGGACAAUGGGCGAAAGCCUGAUCCAGCCAUGCCGCGUGUGUGAAGAAGGCCUUCGGGUUGUAAAGCACUUUCAGUGGGGAAGAAAGCCUUGGGGCUAAUACCCUCGAGGAAGGACAUCACCCACAGAAGAAGCACCGGCUAACUCCGUGGCCAGCAGCCGCGGUAAUACGGAGGGUGCGAGCGUUAAUCGGAAUUACUGGGCGUAAAGCGCGCGUAGGCGGUCUGAUAAGCCGGUUGUGAAAGCCCCGGGCUCAACCUGGGAACGGCAUCCGGAACUGUCAGGCUAGAGUGCAGGAGAGGAAGGUAGAAUUCCCGGUGUAGCAGUGAAAUGCGUAGAGAUCGGGAGGAAUACCAGUGGCGAAGGCGGCCUUCUGGACUGACACUGACGCUGAGGUGCGAAAGCGUGGGUAGCAAACAGGAUUAGAUACCCCUGUAGUC